ACUUUAAGGGGACAGGGCAGGAAGUCACUGCUUUGUUUGUUUGCCUCUUUUAGAAGUCAACAGGUCUGAAGGAAUCACAGCACUUUGAAGCCACUGCCUGGGCAUGAGAAGCAGCUGAGAACAGCUCAGGCUCCUCAGAGAGCUCCUGGCUGUGGAACCAACUGCAGCCUCUCCAUCACCCUGGGGAGCCUUCAAAAAGCCCAGGCCUGAUUUGCUCCUGCUCCAACAAAGAGAAGAAACUCCAACAACCUGAGAGACAAUGGAUCAAGAACCAGGUUGGAAUGGCUGGAAAUGUUAAAGCAGCUUCUCUCUCCAGUGCUUUGCUGCAGGCUGCUACUUCCAACACCAGGAGCGCUGGACCGUGCACAGACCUUGAUCAUUUGUGACCUGGAUGUACACUAAAGUAAACCCAAAAUAUAAUAUUCUGGGCUUUAGACCAAAGUAGGUCAAUAAAAAUCAGAAUUCUGAUGUGGAGGAGAGCUGC
rnacentral:lncRNA from 1 species